AACGCACAUUGCGCCCUGUGGUAUUCCGCAGGGCAUGCCUGUUCGAGCGUCAUUAUAACCACUCAAGCCUGGCUUGGUAUUGGAGUUUGCGGUUCCGCAGCUUCUAAAAUCAGUGGCGGUGCCGGUGUGGCUCUACGCGUAGUAAUUCUUCUCGCGAUGGAGUUCCCCUGGUUACUUGCCAGAACCCCCAAUUUUUACAGGUUGACCUCGGAUCAGGUAGGGAUACCCGCUGAACUUAA
rnacentral:misc_RNA from 2 species